CGGGAUUUCAUUUGUAGCAAUACCGAUGAAAUCUAGUGGCGAACGGGUGCGUAACACGCUGAGCAAUCUGCCGGGAAGUGGGGGAUAACUCGCCGAAAGGCGAAUUAAUACCGCAUAUGGCCAGGGAAGACAUCUUCCCGAAGCCAAAGUCGCAAGACGCUUCCUGAUGAGCUCGCGGCCUAUCAGCUAGUUGGUGAGGUAACGGCUCACCAAGGCUAUGACGGGUAGCUGGUCUGAGAGGACGACCAGCCACACUGGAACUGA
rnacentral:rRNA from 1 species